AGAUGUAUCAGUAGCUCAAGUAUGGUGCUCAAGAAAUCCUCUGUAAUAGAAAAAGGAUUUUAGAAGAGUGACUGACUCUUGGAAGGCUCUACAAUGUCAUCCAUCCACAGAAGCAAUGCCAGUAUUAUGACACUAAAGGAAAUCAUGGAACUUGGAUUUGUGGCAGGUGUCUCCAGCUAUACCUACUCAUCUCCAGUUAAUAACUACACAGAAACUAACAGUACCUCUAAGCCAGAUAGUUGGAAUGGUCUCGACUUGGAAAGCAUGAUGAUGAUAAAAGGCAGUCCUCAGCAUACUUUGACAAGACCCGAGUCCUCUCUGAUCAGCAGUAUGAAGGGUGAAUUGCACAGUCAGAUCCAAGGCAUUUGUGAUGGUGGCCUUGCUUCCUUCUGCAAGACCCCUGGUGGUCAUGUUGCUUUUGACUUGUCCAGUCUGGUUUCUGAAUACAGCAGAGUCGAUUACACUGUGGAUAUAUAUUGUGAUGCCAAGUCCUCUACGCCAUGCAGGGAAGAGAAGUGCCUCCAAUCAAUGGAGAACUUGCUCUCCAAGAGCUCAGAGACCGUAAUUGAUUUAUCAAAUAUCAGGAGGCCACCCCCACCUAUACUGGAAAUAUCUGAGAUACAAGCCCCUCUGGACAAUAUUCUGUCCCUUGAUGCGAGUGCUGAAGAGCCAAGAUCACUGGGAUUUGUGAAAACAGAUGCCCUCUCUCUGGAGACAUCUUCCUCUGCUAUUAUUUUGCCUUGGGCUGCUAGUAACAAAAGACACUGUAUUCCUGCCUUGGUGUCUAUUUGUUAUGAUACUCAACUAAGUGAGCCAGAGCCUGUAGCUGUGGUUCUGCCUCAACACCUAUGAUUCUGCAUUGUAAAGCAAAGCUAUGAUGAAUGCACCAGAAGAGUUUCUACUUCCAUUAUCAGAGUUUUUAGCACCUACUCUGUUUGCAGAGUACAACCUAUGACACACAUCAGUGUGCGUUUGCAGCAUGCAAAGAGGCUAGUACUUAAAGCUAAAUUACUGUACUGUACUGUACUGAACUGUAGGGAUGCUGUGUUUGGGCAAACACUAAUUUUGGUCUAUAGUUGUCUAUAUAGUAAUGCAUUACUGGAGGUUUGUCAGAUUGAUUAUAAUGGCUCUGAGUAACUUUGUUUACUAAAUAAAGCACUACUGUCACUUGAA